ensembl:miRNA MIR200B microRNA 200b
UCGGGCGGCCGUGGCCAUCUUACUGGGCAGCAUUGGAUGGUGUCUGGUCUCUAAUACUGCCUGGUAAUGAUGACGGCGGAGCCCUGCACG